AUUGAAGUGAGGCUGACUAAAGUUUGUGUCUGUGGAGAUGGGAGUUUGUAGACUGUGGUCAUCAUGGAACUGGCAUGGACCUGACCUAGACAGUGAUGGUCGCUGGGGAUGGCUUUGAUGGCUGCUCUCUUGUGGAAAAUGCUAAAACUCAUCACUAAAUCUCCCCUUCAAUGGUUUUGCAUGCAUGUUCGUUUCAUCACACACUCUCAC